UACGAAGGGGGCUAGCGUUGUUCGGAAUUACUGGGCGUAAAGCGCGCGCAGGCGGUUCUCCAAGUCAGUGGUGAAAGCCCGGAGCUCAACUCCGGAACUGCCAUUGAAACUGUUGAACUUGAGGACGAGAGAGGUGAGUGGAAUUCCCAGUGUAGAGGUGAAAUUCGUAGAUAUUGGGAAGAACACCAGUGGCGAAGGCGGCUCACUGGCUCGUUUCUGACGCUCAGGCGCGAUAGCGUGGGGAUCAAACGGG
rnacentral:rRNA from 1 species